rnacentral:rRNA from 1 species
GACGAACGCUGGCGGCGUGCUUAACACAUGCAAGUCGAACGGAAAGGCCCUGCUUUUGUGGGGUGCUCGAGUGGCGAACGGGUGAGUAACACGUGAGUAACCUGCCCUUGACUUUGGGAUAACUUCAGGAAACUGGGGCUAAUACCGGAUAGGAGCUCCUGCUGCAUGGUGGGGGUUGGAAAGAUUCGGCGGUUGGGGAUGGACUCGCGGCUUAUCAGCUUGUUGGUGGGGUAGUGGCUUACCAAGGUUUUGACGGGUAGCCGGCCUGAGAGGGUGACCGGCCACAUUGGGACUGAGAUACGGCCCAGACUCCUACGGGAGGCAGCAGUGGGGAAUAUUGCACAAUGGGCGGAAGCCUGAUGCAGCAACGCCGCGUGCGGGAUGACGGCCUUCGGGUUGUAAACCGCUUUCGCCUGUGACGAAGCGUGAGUGACGGUAAUGGGUAAAGAAGCACCGGCUAACUACGUG